rnacentral:rRNA from 1 species
CUGGAGGUAUCAGAAGUGCGAAUGCUGACAUAAGUAACGAUAAAGCGGGUGAAAAGCCCGCUCGCCGGAAGACCAAGGGUUCCUGUCCAACGUUAAUCGGGGCAGGGUGAGUCGACCCCUAAGGCGAGGCCGAAAGGCGUAGUCGAUGGGAAACGGGUUAAUAUUCCCGUACUUGGUGUUACUGCGAAGGGGGGACGGAGAAGGCUAUGUUGGCCGGGCGACGGUUGUCCCGGUUUAAGCGUGUAGGUGUGUGUUCCAGGUAAAUCCGGUUCACUUUAACACUGAGGCGUGAUGACGAGGCA